UCCGCUGCUCGCGGCGCACCGAGCGCGCCCCCUCGCUCCCGCCCCUUCCCAUACUCAGCGUUUCCCCGACGGCGUACGAAGACUGGUGGGAAGAGGCGUUGAGGCUGCUCUGACGUCCCCGGGCGGCUGCGGUCCUCGAGGGCUGGGUGAGCCGCUUCGCGCGCAGUGACUUCCCAGCGGAAAGGACGAGAAAACGGAGCAAUCUCGCGGAACAGCGGGGAGGACACAGGGACAGAGACCCACCCGGAGGUGGGAGGGGGGCAGCCUGUAUCGGGCCUGUGCCUGCUAAAUACCCUGGUCAAGGUCUCCCUGGUUAACCUGAGCUAACCCCCACCCCCCAGACUUCUGGUCUUCUCACCCCACUGAGCCGAAGCAGACUUUUUGAUCUUUGCACUUGCAAGAAUGCAGAAAGCACAAGCCAGGGGGAGCAGUAGGUGGAGGAAGAGCGAGAAGCAGACUCCCCGCUGAGCAGGGAGCCCAAUGCAAGGCUGGAUCCCAGGACCCGGAGAUCACGACCUGAGCCGAAGACAGAGGCUUCACCAACUGAGCCACCCAGGUGCCCCUGAAACACCACUUUUGUCACUUCGUAAACACCCCCAUGUGCUGGGACCCAUCUCUGGGGUCUCUCUCAGUCUCAGUUCUGCCCGUGGGUCUGUCUCCCUGUUCCUGCUCCAGCUGGAUUUUUUUUAACAGAUGAAUAAAUGAAGACCCAGAGUCGCUGGUAGAGUCCGGAAAGGGCAGGGAGUGAAACCAACGCCAGGAAGAGAGCCUGGAGCAGCUCCCGGGUGCUCGGCAGCCACAGACGGCAGCCGUCGCCCCCACCUGCUCCACAGAGUCAGAAAGGAGAAUUCUAGAGGGCUUCAAGGCCACACAAAAGCUUCAGGAGAGCUUGAAGGACUAAGAGCCAGAGACAGAAUUCUAAGUCCCUGAGGGCAUCACUGACCUCACAGACCUGGGGUGGGGGCUUGGAGGGAGGCAGUAAUGACAAUUGUGGGAGAGAAAGGGCAGGACAGAGAGGAUGGGUGAGGCUGACCUCAGGGCAAACGCCCCCCUUCCCUCCUCAAAGUGGUGUCCCAGCAACGGCAAAUCCCGCAGCCUACAGGGAAAACUGUGUGUCCUCCAUCUGUGUCAGGAACAGGGUGUUCUGAAGUCACUUCCCGAGCUGCAGGGGUGGCUGAGUGGCACCUCUCACAUCCGUGGGCCAGAAAUAAGAGGACUUCUCAAUGCUCCAACCCCACGCAGGCUGCUGGCUUCCAUUCUUUCAAUGUCACAACAUUUUGGAAACCACUUCUUUUUUAGUUAAAUAGGAUCCACAGCCAUCGUGAGGCUUGAACUCACAACCUUGAGAUUAAGAAUCCCAUGCUUAGGGGCGCCUGGGUGGCUCAGUGAGUUAAGCCGCUGCCUUCGGCUCGGGUCGUGGUCUCAGGGUCCUGGGAUCGAGCCCCGCAUCGGGCUCUCUGCUCUGCGGGAAGACUGCUUCCUCCUCUCUCUCCCUCUCUGCCUGCCUGUCUGCCUACUUGUGAUCUCUGUCUGUCAAAUAAAUAAAAUCUUAAAAAAAAAAAAGAAUACCAUGCUUAGGGGCGCCUGGGUGGUGCCCUUGUUGGGUGUCUACCUUCGGCUCAGGUCAUGAUCCCAGGGUCCUGGGAUCGAGCCCCACAUCGGGCUCCCUGCUCUCUGGGAAGCUCGCUUCUCCCUCUCCCACUCCCCCUGCUUGUGUUCCCUCUCUUGCUGUGUCAAUCUCUGUCAAAUAAAUAAAAAAAGAAUCUUAAAAAAAAAGAAUCCCAUGCUCUACCACACUCUACUGACUGAGCCAGCCAGGUGCCCCUGGAAACUUUUUAUUGUAUCAUUUUAUUAUUAUGAUGAUUACUACUAAAGAUUUUAUUUUUAAGUAAUCGCUACACCCAAGGAGGGGCUUGAAUUUACAACCCUGAGAUCAAUAGUUGCAUGUUCUGCUGACUAAGCCAGCCAAGUGCCUCUUUACUGUAUCGUUUUAAAUUACAGAAAGCUUACAAGAACGGUACAAGGAAUACUGAUGUGUACUCUAUCCAGAUUUUCUGUUUACAUGACGCAUGUACAUAUAGAGAGAAAAUAGAAUAUAUAUAUAUAUAGUAUGUGUAUAGAUGCAUAUUUUUUUUAAGAUUUUAUUUAUUUAUUUGAGAGAGAGAGACAGUGAGAGAGAGCAUGAGCGAGGAGAAGGUGAGAGGGAGAAGCAGACUCCCCAUGCAGCUGGGAGCCCAAUGCGGGACUUGAUCCCGGGACUCCGGGAUCAUGACCUGAGCCAAAGGCAGUCGUCCAACCAACUGAGCCACCCAGGCGUCCCUAUAUGCAUAUUUUUUAUCUGAGCAAUUUAAGAGUAAGGUGAAGGCAUUUUGCCUCUUUACCCCUACCUACUUCAUCUUUCAUAUAAUCACAGCGGAAUUGUCAAAAUCAGGGAAUUUAACAUUAUUUUUAUAUUUUAACAUUAUCUUGGGGCGCCUGGGUGGCUCAGUGGGUUAAAGCCUCUGCUUCAGCUCAGGUCAUGGUCUCAGGGUCCUGGGAUCGAGUCCCGCAUCGGGCUCGCUGCUCAGCAGGGGGCCUGCUUCCCUCUCCCUCUCUCUCUCUCUC